CCUACGGGAGGCAGCAGUGGGGAAUUUUGGACAAUGGGCGAAAGCCUGAUCCAGCAAUGCCGCGUGUGGGAAGAAGGCCUUCGGGUUGUAAACCACUUUUGUACGGAACGAAACGGCUCGCUUUAAUACAGUGGGCUAAUGACGGUACCGUAAGAAUAAGCACCGGCUAACUACGUGCCAGCAGCCGCGGUAAUACGUAGGGUGCGAGCGUUAAUCGGAAUUACUGGGCGUAAAGCGUGCGCAGGCGGUUAUAUAAGACAGUUGUGAAAUCCCCGGGCUCAACCUGGGAAUUGCAUCUGUGACUGUAUAGCUAGAGUACGGUAGAGGGGGAUGGAAUUCCGCGUGUAGCAGUGAAAUGCGUAGAUAUGCGGAGGAACACCGAUGGCGAAGGCAAUCCCCUGGACCUGUACUGACGCUCAUGCACGAAAGCGUGGGGAGGCAAACAGGAUUAGAUACCCUGGUAGUCCACGCCCUAAACGAUGUCAACUGGUUGUUGGGUGCAUUAGUACUCAGUAACGAAGCUAACGCGUGAAGUUGACAGCCUGGGGAGUACGGCCGCAAGGUUGAAACUCAAAGGAAAUUGACGG
rnacentral:rRNA from 1 species